rnacentral:rRNA from 1 species
GGCAGACGGGUGAGUAACGCGUAGGAAUCUACCCCAGAGUGGAGCAUAGCCGGCCGAAAGGUCGGGUAAUUCUCCAUGGUCCGAGCAAUCGGUAAAGCAGUAAUGCGCUUUGGGAGGAGCCUGCGUCCUAUCAGCUAGUUGGCGGGGUAAAUGCCCACCAAGGCAAUGACGGGUAGCUGGACUGAGAGGUCGAACAGCCACAACUGCACUGAGACACGGGCAGUACAUCUGCGGAUGGCAGCAACCAGGAAUAUUGCGCAAUGGACGAAAGUCUGACGCAGCGACGCCGCGUGGAGGAAGACGGUCUACGGAUUGUAAACUCCUUUUGCCAAGCCCUUCACAGCUUGGCGAAUAAGCCUCUACUAACUACGUGCCAGAAGUCUCGGUAAUACGUAGGAGGCAAGCGUUAUCCGGAUUCAUUGGGCGUAAAGUGUGUGUAGGCGUUCUGUUAAGUCAUAACUGAAAUCCCAAGGCUUACCCUUGGAGUUGGUUAUGAUACUAAUAGAAUUGAGGUUUGACAGGGGUGCUGGAACAGUUAAUGUAGCAGUGAAAUGCGUUGAUAUUAACUGGAACACCAAAGGCGAAGGCAGGCACCUGGGUUUUACCUGACGCUGAGGCACGAAAGCUAGGGGAGCGAAACAGAUUAGAGACCUGUGUAGUCCUAGCCGUAAACGAUGCUCGCUAGCUCUGAGCGCAAGCUCGGGGCGUAAGCUAACGCGUUAAGCGAGCCGCCUGGGGAGUACGGCCGCAAGGCUAAAACUCAAAGGAAUUGACGGGGACCCGCAC